CGAUUAGCUCAGCGGGAGAGCACUACCUUGACACGGUAGGGGUCACUGGUUCAAUCCCAGUAUCGCGCA
rnacentral:tRNA from 1 species